AGUUUUUGAAGUUCCUCAGUUUUAUGUGGAAUCCCUUAUCAUGGGUUAUGGAAGCUGCAGCAGUAAUGGCAAUUGUCCUUGCUAAUGGUGGAGGGGAAGGUCCUGACUGGCAGGAUUUUGUAGGGAUUAUUUGCCUACUGUUAAUAAAUUCAACAAUUAGUUUCAUAGAAGAAAAUAAUGCUGGGAAUGCUGCAGCUGCACUUAUGGCCCAUUUGGCUCCCAAAACAAAGGUCCUCAGAGAUGGACAGUGGCAAGAGCAAGAUGCGGCAAUCUUAGUACCAGGAGAUAUAAUUAGCAUAAAGCUUGGAGAUAUCAUACCUGCAGAUGCUCGAUUGCUCAAAGGAGAUCCACUAAAAAUUGACCAGUCAGCUCUUACUGGAGAAUCUCUCCCUGUCACCAAGAGAACAGGUGAUGAAGUAUUUUCUGGUUCAACAUGUAAGCAUGGUGAAAUUGAAGCUGUGGUCAUAGCAACUGGAGUUAACACCUUCUUUGGAAAAGCAGCACACCUAGUUGAUUCCACUGAAGUUGUCGGGCAUUUUCAGAAGGUCCUAACCUCCAUUGGGAAUUUCUGCAUUUGCUCUAUAGCUGUGGGAAUGAUUCUUGAAAUCAUUGUCAUGUUUCCAAUACAGCACCGUUCCUAUAGAGAUGGAAUCAACAACCUUCUUGUUCUCUUGAUUGGAGGAAUACCUAUAGCUAUGCCAACAGUGUUGUCCGUUACACUUGCAAUUGGUUCUCAUCGGCUAUCUCAACAGGGUGCCAUUACCAAGAGGAUGACUGCAAUUGAAGAAAUGGCAGGAAUGGAUGUCCUCUGCAGCGACAAAACUGGAACUCUCACCUUGAAUCGCCUCACAGUUGAUCGAAACCUUAUCGAGGUUUUUAACAAAGAUAUGGACAAAGAAAUAAUUGUCUUACUUGCAGCCAGAGCAUCCAGACUGGAGAAUCAGGAUGCUAUCGAUGCAGCUAUAGUUAACAUGCUUGCUGAUCCAAAGGAGGCACGUGCAAACAUCAAGGAAGUGCACUUUCUGCCAUUCAAUCCAGUGGACAAACGUACUGCAAUUACAUACAUUGAUUCUGAUGGUAACUGGUAUCGUGCCAGCAAAGGAGCUCCUGAGCAGAUCCUAAAUAUGUGCCAAGAGAAGGAUCAGAUUGCUGGAAAAGUUCAUACCAUUAUUGACAAAUUUGCUGAAAGAGGCUUGAGAUCUCUUGGAGUUGCAUUUCAGGAAGUACCUGAAAAGACUAAGGACAGUCCUGGAGGUCCUUGGACAUUUUGUGGGUUGUUGCCCUUGUUUGAUCCUCCUAGACAUGAUAGUGCUGAGACCAUCCGUAGAGCACUUAACCUUGGAGUCGGUGUUAAGAUGAUUACAGGUGAUCAGCUGGCAAUUGCAAAGGAGACAGGGAGACGACUUGGCAUGGGAACGAACAUGUACCCCUCUUCAUCGCUGUUGGGUCGUGACAAGGAUGAAUAUGAAGCUCUUCCAGUGGAUGAGCUCAUUGAGAAGGCAGAUGGCUUUGCU
rnacentral:misc_RNA from 1 species